rnacentral:lncRNA from 1 species
AUGGAUCCCCAGGCAUCCAUUUCUCAAAAUCAGCACCCACCUUCAGGGUCUGCUUCCAGCGCCUCUACCAGAGACCCUGGCAGGGGGCUGAGUACACAGUCUGCACCGCGGCAUGCUGGGAAGGGCCAUCAGCAGCAGCCCCCCGAAGGGCAGCCUGCCAAGCCUGUGCCACCAAGACGGCGCAACUCAAAAACACAGAGCCAGCCCAGGCCUCAGGAACAACCCCCAGUCAUGGGUCAAGAACAACCCCAGCCCAGGCCUCAGGAACAACUUCCUUCUGGGCCUCAGGACAAGCCGUUCCUGCCUAGGGCUCAAGACCAGCUCUCCUCCAGGCCUCCUCCGGUCCAGCUCGUAGCUGUGUCCCAGGCGGUGUCUCCCCCACAGUCGCUGUCCCCACCUGAGCCCCAAGGUGAGGCCACGGCCCAACAUGACGCAGGUGAAGAGCAGCAGGUGACACAGGGGAAGGCCCGGGCUCAGGCCCCUCCUCAGCUGAAUAAAUCUCAGUCGCUGAGUAAUGCAUUUGGCCUUGGAGAAACAUCCUUCUUCCAGACGGCCAGCGAGGGCGUGGGCAAAGCGGAAACCGUUCGCAACCUGAGGAAGUCUUUCGCAAGUCUGUUCUCUGAUUAGGGGUAUGCCCAAGAAGAGAAGUUAUCAAAAUCAUGAUUCAUACUCGUGAUUCGUCUAUUAUAUUAUAAAUGUAAGCCAUAACUGAUGAGUAUAUUUGUACAGAGGAAUUAAGCGGAGUUGGUGAUGACUUAUAUGUAUUGUUGAAUAAUAGAAUGUCCAUGCUUAUAAGCUAUUCUUUCAUUGAAUGUAGUUUUGUAGUUUAUUUUUCACAAAGGUAUAGUGUCAUAAAGCAACAGACUUUAAACAGUAUGCUAUAUUAUGGUGUCUAUGUUUGAAUCAUAUGUACACUAGGUUUUUUAACUUGAUUAUAUGAUUAUAUUUUCCAUUUUCAUUGUAUUGUAUCUGAAUGGGCUUUUCGAGGUUUCAGCUAAAAUGAGUUGCAUGCUUUUGGUGUGAGUAUUCAGUGAUUGGUGCAGGAUGUCUCCAUGUUAAAAACACAGCUGUGUUGUCAUACACAGAGUUGGACCUGUGGAAUAAUACAAGUAUUAUACCUUAAUACUGCAUGCACAGCAUGAUUAGUGCUUCACUCAUUAGGAUACAGUUGGUAAAAAAAAUGUGAAACGUGAAAAGUCCUUUUCUGUUAGACUAUCCAUAUGGCACUAAAUUAGUGUAUUUUUGUAGAGUGUUGUAUUGUAGUAUAAGCUGUUUGUGAAGCUGAUGCAAAAUGUAGCCUAGUUUAUUCUGUUCAUACAUAAACGUAAAAAAAAAAAAUGACUUCCUAUGGUCUGCAUAAUAGCGACCUCGUUGCAUGUAUUAACCCUUGUAUGGUAUUCAUUUUUUUGUUACUCAGAAGGUGUUGUGGGUCUGGUGGACCCGCUCGAUUUUUGGGUGUUUAAUUCAACACAAUCAAACAAUUUUAUGGUAAAAUACUCAACAGAUAUUUACUUCAUUCCAAUUAGAAGCAAUAUGAACAGCAAAUAUGGUUAAUUUUUGCCCUUUAACUUUGUUAUAUCACAUUUAUGAAUUUAAGUGCUACCCGAUUAUUUUUUUUUUUUUUUACAAAAUCAAGAAAAUCAAUUAUAAUCAAGAUAUCAGUGGACAAAAUUCAACACAUUUACAAAUGAAGCAAGGUUUUCCAUAACUAUUUGAUUUAUGUGAAUUUAAUUUGAAAUCAGGUCAGUUUACAUAGCACAACAUGGGUGGAUGGGGCACCAGCACUGUCCUCCUAAAUCCUCCUAAUAGUAGCUGCAGAGGCUGAGGUUCUUGGAACAUGUUGUCUUCUCAGGAUUUAAGGUUUCACCAGUGUCUUUCCCAGUUCCUCGAGAAAAAGGCUUAUCCUCUGGAGCUUCCCUCUCUUCCACUCCGGGUUCAGUGCCAUCCAGGUGACAAAGUCGUUGUACGCCAUGAUGUCCAAAAUGGUAAAUAAAAUGGCCAGUGGCCAGCGUAGGGUCCUCCUU